AUGGAGAUCCCACUUUAUCCACCCCCACAACUCGAGCCUGUUGGAACAAAGGUGCUUUGUCGCCCUAUCUUAACUAUUUCAUCACUUCUGAAGGUAAAACUGUGGGUUUUGCCACCUGUCAUGAGCAGAAUAAAAGUUCCACCAGGUACUGCCGUAACCAAAUGGAUUCUGGAUGACUGAAAGCUCAACCAAGAGUCAAGAAAUGAGGACACAAGAAUUAUUAUUCAUAAGGAAUGAUGAGACACAAAUGGAGUGUCCAUGUGGCAGUGAUAGAGGAUGUACAUGGGCCCAACAGUGUCAAUUGUUCUUACCAAGACUUAUCUAGUUAUUAUCACCACAUACUGCCCAACAUGACAGCAACAGAAACCAAUAAUGAGCCCUUGAUACAGCAUUAUGUCUAACAAGAAGUAACCAGUUAGUUGGUUUAAGUCUAUUUUGCAGAGUCCCUUCCAUUUUAGAAGGGUCUACAAUUUAUUCUCAAAAUAACAGACACCUAUUCUGGUCAUUUUCUGUCCAGAGAACCUCAGCUGGCACCACUCUAUGAAGGCUUAUUAUGUACCCAUUCCAUAGACACGGAAUUUUACAUAAGGGAAUAUCAUUCCUCCCAGAAUAAAGACUUUUGUCACUUCACAAAGUAAGCCACCAAGACCAGUAGAAAUGUUAGGUAAAUGUGGAGAAAAAAAGUGGAAGGGAUAUUAAAACAGAAAGAUAACCAGUAAUAACUAAAGCUCCUUAGGAGCUAAAUUUCAUCUCCCUAACCUGCCCUUU
rnacentral:lncRNA from 1 species